GACGAACGCUGGCGGCGUGCUUAACACAUGCAAGUCGAACGGAAAGGCCCUGCGUUUGUGGGGUGCUCGAGUGGCGAACGGGUGAGUAACACGUGAGUAACCUGCCCUUGACUUUGGGAUAACUUCAGGAAACUGGGGCUAAUACCGGAUAGGAGCUCCUGCUGCAUGGUGGGGGUUGGAAAGUUUCGGCGGUUGGGGAUGGACUCGCGGCUUAUCAGCUUGUUGGUGGGGUAGUGGCUUACCAAGGCUUUGACGGGUAGCCGGCCUGAGAGGGUGACCGGCCCCAUUGGGACUGAGCUACGGCCCAGACUCCUACGGGAGGCAGCAGUGGGGAAUAUUGCACAAUGGGCGGAAGCCUGAUGCAGCAACGCCGCGUGCGGGAUGACGGCCUUCGGGUUGUAAACCGCUUUCGCCUGUGACGAAGCGUGAGUGACGGUAAUGGGUAAAGAAGCACCGGCUAACUACGUG
rnacentral:rRNA from 1 species